rnacentral:rRNA from 1 species
GGUAGGGGAGCGUUCCGCAUUAGGAUGAAGGGGGACCGUAAGGACCCCUGGACGAGGCGGAAGUGAUACUGCCGGUAUGAGUAGCGAAAAGCUGGGUGAGAAUCCCAGCCGCCGAAAGCCUAAGGUUUCUUAAGCAAGGCUCGUCCGCUUAAGGUUAGUCGGGCCUAAGCCGAGGGCGAAAGCCGUAGGCGAUGGACAGCAGGUCAAUAUUCCUGCACCACCGACCGGGCGCUAGUACCGAGGGGGUAACGCAGAAGGGUAGGCUUUCCGCACGAUUGGUAGUGUGCGGCCAAGCCCGUGGGAGGGAUGGCAGGCAAAUCCGCCAUCCACAACUCUGAGGGGUGAUGGGGAGCUGCCGUAAAGGUGGCGAAGAAGCUGACCCCAUGCUGCCAGGAAAAACCUCUAGGGAAUGCCCGACGGUGCCCGUACCGCAAACCGACACAGGUAGGCAAGGAGAGAAUCCUAAGGCGCGCGAGAGAACCCUCGUUAAGGAACUCGGCAAACUGACCCCGUAACUUCGGGAGAAGGGGUGCCCUUGAUCGUGACAGAGCGGACUUCGGUUUGCCUCUCAAGCGGUCGAGGGCCGCAGAGAAUCGGCCGGUGCGACUGUUUACCAAAAACACAGGUCUCUGCCAAAGCGCGAGCUGAGGUAUAGGGGCUGACGCCUGUCCAGUGCCAUACGCUUAAGGGGAGGGAUCAGGCCCUUCGGGGCUGAAGUCUCGAACCGAAGGCUUGGUGAACGACGGCCGUAACCAUGACGGUCCUAUGGUAGCGAAAUUCCUUGUCG